ensembl:lncRNA
GUGAGCUCCAAUGAGAUGGUUCCUAGAGGUGGAGUCCUGGUAGGGUCCGCAACGAGAUCAGGGGUUCCGCACGCCUGUCCGCCAGUUCCCCACUCGGCAUGGGUUCCUGCUUUUUCUAGUGUCAUGUGCGCCGUGAGGUUCUGAUGGCUUUUUCACCUUAAGAUUUAUGUUUUCUUUUGAACCCUUUCUUAUCCUCUCCCAUUCUUUACCUCUAUUAUUCUCCAAGAAACGGAAAGGGUUAUGGAUUGGUAUUUGGUUAUUAGUUUGGGGUUUCGACAACACUGCGGGAAUCAGUGCUGUAAGCCUCCGCUGUUUAUUCAAACCCUCCCUGUGUGCUUAAUAAGUACAUGAGAUGCCCUGUGAUCAGUUCUUCAGGAAUCUGAACCAGCCUGCAUAGAAAAAAGCCUGUGAGCAGACACUGCAGAAAGGGCAUCCUUCAAAGAGACAUACCUGGCAUUUGUGCUCAGAUACAAAUGAUGCUGGCAUAUUGAGUGCAGCACUUUCACAGCAUUAUCUUUCAAGAUUUGAAAUAGCUCAACUGGAAUUCCAUCACCUCCACUAGCUUUGUUCGUAGUGAUGCUUUCUAAGGCCCACUUGACUUCACAUUCCAGGAUCUCUGGCUCUAGUCGUACAUGGAUGUGAGAGUUGGACCAUAAAGAAGGCUGAGCACCGAAGAAUUGAUGCUUUUGAACUGUGGUGUUGGAGAAGACUCUUGAGAGUCCCUUGGACUGCAAGGAGAUCCAACCAGUCUAUCCGAAAGGAAAUUUGUCCUGAAAAUUCAUUGGAAGGACUAAUGCUGAAGCUGAAACUCCAAUACUUUGGCCACCUGAUGGGA